rnacentral:rRNA from 1 species
UACGAAGGGUGCAAGCGUUAAUCGGAAUUACUGGGCGUAAAGGGUGCGUAGGCGGUUCGUUAAGUCUGGCGUGAAAGCCCCGGGCUCAACCUGGGAAUGGCGAUGGAUACUGGCGAGCUAGAGUGUGUCAGAGGAUGGUGGAAUUCCCGGUGUAGCGGUGAAAUGCGUAGAGAUCGGGAGGAACACCAGUGGCGAAGGCGGCCUUCUGGACCAAUACUGACGCUCAUGCACGAAAGCGUGGGGAGCAAACAGG